UCGCCGGCGGGGUAGAGGUUCACCUGGGGACAGACUACGAAUCUGGGGGUCAGGAGUUCGAAUCUCUUCGGGCGCGCCA
rnacentral:tRNA from 1 species